UACGAAGGGGGCUAGCGUUAAUCGGAAUUACUGGGCGUAAAGCGUGCGCAGGCGGUUUUGUAAGUCUGACGUGAAAUCCCCGGGCUCAACCUGGGAAUUGCGUUGGAGACUGCAAGGCUGGAGUCUGGCAGAGGGGGGUAGAAUUCCACGUGUAGCAGUGAAAUGCGUAGAGAUGUGGAGGAAUACCGAUGGCGAAGGCAGCCCCCUGGGAUAACACUGACGCUCAUGCACGAAAGCGUGGGGAGCAAACAGG
rnacentral:rRNA from 1 species